GACGAACGCUGGCGGCGUGCCUAAUACAUGCAAGUCGAACGCAGUGGGGACGGGUGAGUAACAUGUGGGUAACCUCCCAUCAGAGGGGAAAACAUUUGGAAACAGGCGCUAAACCGAUAUGGUUGGAUGGUACGGCGGGUCAUUGUCCAGCUGGGGAGGGAACGGCUCACCAAGGCCACGAUGCAUAGCGGGCCUGAGAGGGUGAUCAGCCAAACUGGGACUGAGACACGGCCCAGACUCCUACGGGAGGCAGCAGUGGGGAAUCUUCGGCAAUGGGCGAAAGUCUGACGGAGCAACGCCGCGUGAGUGAAGAAGGUUUUCGGAUCGUAAAGCUCUGUUGUUAGAGAGGCGGUAUCUAACCAGGAAGCCACGGCUAACUACGUGCCAGCAGCCGCGGUAAUAC
rnacentral:rRNA from 1 species